UGUAUCUAAAGGCAGACAGCCCAGGUCGGGCAAGAGGGAGAAUUGUUCCCGGGCUCCCUCAUCCCCCAGCGAACCUUAGGGGGAAAGCAGAGUGACACCUCCACUCCCCGUCCGGGCCGCCGCAACUUUUAGCUACUCCGAUCCAGCUGGUACUGCUGCUGCCGUCUCCAACAGCAGCGGGGAAACCUCUCCUCGCUCGGCUUUCCUAUGGAGAGCUGGAGCCUCCCCGUGCCCGGAGGCAGCGCGCAUCCGGGGCUGCUCAUUAAUUCCGCCUGCUCUGUGCCUGCGCUUUCUCCCCUUCCUUGAACAGUAGAGAGGAGGAGGAGGAGGCGGCACCCGGCUGGCUGGCUGGCUAGCCAGCCAGCCAGCCCCCCCCCUCCAGUGCCGCCUUGAUGAACAUCAAGGCCUCGCAGCUGGAACGCUGAGCCAGUUUAGGAGGCGCCCCUGUGGAAUCUUGAGGGCGGCGGAGUUCUACGCUCCGAACGUCGAAACUGUUAAAACUGGGGGAGGUGGGAACCGAGUUCCUUGUGUACAUGUGCAUCCGGGCGAGCGGGCGCUGCCGCCCUUCUCUAGCAAGAGGUCGGCAGGAUCAGAUCCAGUAUAUAACAGCGCGAUCCUAACUAUGACUACUCAGAAGACAUUUUGGUGCAGGAAGCAAUUCAUAAACCUAACCUAACCAUCACUGUUGCCAAUUUGGUUGCCCUCUCUCACUGGUUCCAGUCCACACAACUGCCCCAGGGGUGCCAGUCUGGAGGGCCCAUGAUUUUCGGAGUGAGCUCUUUUGGGGGAAGGAGGAAGGAGGAGAUACCACAAGAAGCGGAGAGAUUAAACACUCCUGUAUCUGAGCAGAGCAGCCACUCAAGCUAAUAAAAAUAAUUUUGGAUGAAUAAUUUCA